rnacentral:rRNA from 1 species
GACGAACGCUGGCGGCGUGCUUAACACAUGCAAGUCGAACGGAAAGGCCCUGCUUUUGUGGGGUGCUCGAGUGGCGAACGGGUGAGUAACACGUGAGUAACCUGCCCUUGACUUUGGGAUAACUUCAGGAAACUGGGGCUAAUACCGGAUAGGAGCUCCUGCUGCAUGGUGGGGGUUGGAAAGUUUCGGCGGUUGGGGAUGGACUCGCGGCUUAUCAGCUUGUUGGUGGGGUAGUGGCUUACCAAGGCUUUGACGGGUAGCCGGCCUGAGAGGGUGACCGGCCACAUUGGGACUGAGAUACGGCCCAGACGCCUACGGGAGGCAGCAGUGGGGAAUAUUGCACAAUGGGCGGAAGCCUGAUGCAGCAACGCCGCGUGCGGGAUGACGGCCUUCGGGUUGUAAACCGCUUUCGCCUGUGACGAAGCGUGAGUGACGGGAAUGGGUAAAGAAGCACCGGCUAACUACG